AAAAGAUCUUUACCAAUCCUACAACAGAUAGAGGCCUUAUUUCCAAAAUAUACAAAGAACUCAAGAAGUUAGACCGCAGGGAAACAAAUAACCCUAUUAAAAAAUGGGGUUCAGAGCUAAACAAAGAAUUCACAGCUGAGGAAUGCCGAAUGGCUGAGAAACACCUAAAGAAAUGUUCAACAUCUUUAGUCAUAAGGGAAAUGCAAAUCAAAACAACCCUGAGAUUUCACCUCACACCAGUGCGAUUGGCUAAGAUCAAAAACUCAGGUGACAGCAGAUGCUGGCGAGGAUGUGGAGAAAGAGGAACACUCCUCCAUUGUUGGUGGGAUUGCAGACUGGUAAAACCAUUCUGGAAAUCAGUCUGGAGGUUCCUCAGAAAAUUGGACAUUGAACUGCCUGAGGAUCCAGCUAUACCUCUCUUGGGCAUAUACCCAAAAGAUGCCUCAACAUAUAAAAGAGACACGUGCUCCACUAUGUUCAUCGCAGCCUUAUUUAUAAUAGCCAGAAAAUGGAAAGAACCCAGAUGCCCUUCAACAGAGGAAUGGAUACAGAAAAUGUGGUACAUCUACACAAUGGAAUAUUACUCAGCUAUCAAAAACAAUGAGUU
rnacentral:lncRNA from 1 species